rnacentral:rRNA from 1 species
UACGUAGGGGGCAAGCGUUGUCCGGAUUUAUUGGGCGUAAAGAGCGUGUAGGCGGUUUGGUAGGUCCGCUGUGAAAACUCGAGGCUCAACCUCGAGACGCCGGUGGAAACCAUCAGGCUAGAGUCCGGAAGAGGAGAGUGGAAUUCCUGGUGUAGCGGUGAAAUGCGCAGAUAUCAGGAGGAACACCGGUGGCGAAGGCGGGAUCCUGGGCCAGUACUGACGCUGAGGAGCGAAAGCGUGGGGAGCAAACAGG